GAGUUUGAUCCUGGCUCAGGAUGAACGCUGGCGGUCUGCUUAACACAUGAAGUCGAACGGAGUUCGUAAGAACUUAGCGGCGGACGGGUGAGUAACGCUGAGAAUCUACCUUCAGGACUGGGAUAACAGUGGGAAACUGUUGCUAUGCCCCAUAGCCCCUCGCGGGGAAAGAUUUAUCGCCGGAAAAUGAGCUCGCUCCGAUUAGUUGGUUGGUGGGGUAAAGGCCUACCAAAACAGCACUCGGUGCUGGUCUGAGAGGACGACCAGCCCCACUGGGACUGAGACCCGGCCCAGCUCCUACGGGAGGCCGCACUGGGGAAUUUUCCGCAAUGGGCGAAAGCCUACGGAGCACGACCGCGUGAGGGAAGAAGGCCCUUGGGUUGUAAACCUCUUUCUCAUGGAAGAAGAAAGUGACGGUACUUGAGGAAUAAGCAUCGCCUACUUCGUGCCUCCAGCCGCAAUAAGACUGAGGAUGCAAGCGUUAUCCGGAUUAUUGGGCCUAAAGGGUCCGCGGGUGGUUUCUCUAGUCGGCAUUCAAAACGCGAGCUUAACUUCGGAAAGGCUGUGGAAACUGAGAGACUAGAGAGAGUACGGGUCAGGGGAAUUCCCGGUGUAGCGGUGAAGUGCGGAGAUUUCGGAGGAACACCAGUAGCGAAAGCGGCCGACUGGGACGCCCCUGACA
rnacentral:rRNA from 1 species